CAGCCGCCGCGGUAAUACGGAGGGUGCAAGCGUUAAUCGGAAUUACUGGGCGUAAAGCGCACGCAGGCGGUCUGACAAGUCAGAUGUGAAAUCCCGGGCUUAACCUGGGAACUGCAUUUGAAACUGUCAGGCUGGAGUCUUGUAGAGGGGGGUGGAAUUCCAGGUGUAGCGGUGAAAUGCGUAGAGAUCUGGAGGAAUACCGGUGGCGAAGGCGGCCCCCUGGACAAAGACUGACGCUCAGGUGCGAAAGCGUGGGGAGCAAACAGGAUUAGAUACCCCUGUAGUCCCUGUCUCUUAUACC
rnacentral:rRNA from 1 species